rnacentral:rRNA from 2 species
AAAAGAAACUAACAAGGAUUCCCCUAGUAACUGCGAGUGAAGCGGGAAAAGCUCAAAUUUAAAAUCUGGCGUGCCUCCGGUCGCCCGAGUUGUAGUCUGGAGAAGCGUUUUCCGUGCUGGACCGUGUACAAGUCCCUUGGAACAGGGCGUCGUAGAGGGUGAGAAUCCCGUCUUUGACACGGACUACCAGUGCUCUGUGAUGCGCUCUCAAAGAGUCGAGUUGUUUGGGAAUGCAGCUCAAAAUGGGUGGUAAAUUCCAUCUAAAGCUAAAUACAGGCGAGAGACCGAUAGCGAACAAGUACCGUGAGGGAAAGAUGAAAAGCACUUUGGAAAGAGAGUUAAACAGUACGUGAAAUUGCUGAAAGGGAAACGCUUGAAGUCAGUCGCGUCUGCCGGGACUCAGCCUUGCUUUUGCUUGGUGCACUUUCUGGUGGAUGGGCCAGCAUCAAUCUUGACCGCCGGAGAAAGGCGGAGGGAAUGUGGCACCUUCGGGUGUGUUAUAGCCCUCCGUUGUAUACGACGGUUGGGAUCGAGGACUGCAGCACGCCUUUAUGGCCGGGGUUCGCCCACGUACGUGCUUAGGAUGCUGGCAUAAUGGCUUUAAGCGACCCGUCUUGAAACACGGACCAAGGAGUCUAACAUGCCUGCGAGUGUUUGGGUGGAAAACCCGAGCGCGUAAUGAAAGUGAUAGUUGAGACCUCUGUCAUGGAGGGCAUCGACGCCCGGACUUGAUCUACGGAGACGGUUCCGCGGUAGAGCAUGUAUGUUGGGACCCGAAAGAUGGUGAACUAUGCCUGAAUAGGGUGAAGCCAGAGGAAACUCUGGUGGAGGCUCGUAGCGAUUCUGACGUGCAAAUCGAUCGUCAAAUUUGGGUAUAGGGGGCGAAAGACUAAUCGAACCAUCUAGUAGCUG